GUGAAAAAAGAGGCACAGAAGUUACUCCUGCCACGCAGAGGUCACCCAAGUUAGAAUCCAGUUAGAACAAUCCAGCUGGACCAAUCCAACCGGACUCUGCUGAACAAGCUUGAUGUCCAUUUCAGGACCAGAGGGAAGGAAGAAGGACCACAAGAGAUUGACAAUACAUAAAAUCACGUUUGCUGGGCACACAGAGUUAACCACAUUCAGUGCUAGGUGCUGCCGACUGACAGAUGAAUAAAGGAAGCAAAAAAUUUCGCGAACCCUCCUAUCUCUCAUUGGCCAGAACAAGGGCAAAUGGACAUUCCUAGGCAGAAGAGAGUGUGGAAAGAGGUGGAUUCUGUUGUUAUCCCUACCGUGCAGAUGAGAACACUGAGGUUAAAAGAAGCUGAGGAACCUGGUCAAGUCAGCUGGUGAAGGAGUUGGGGUCAGAGACCAGAUCUGUCUCCUGCCCUGCAUUGAUAAUCAGCAGAACAUGUGGCUCCUGUGAAACGUACCUUGCCUGGGUGAAGGUUGCAUGCGAUCGUGGUUCCCAGGCUUCCUGGGUCUUAUCAUGCAUUCUGUUAAAACCAGGAACCUAUCAAGAUGGAUUCAAAACACUCAGU